rnacentral:rRNA from 1 species
UACGAAGGGGGCUAGCGUUGUUCGGAAUUACUGGGCGUAAAGCGCACGUAGGCGGACAUUUAAGUCAGGGGUGAAAUCCCAGAGCUCAACUCUGGAACUGCCUUUGAUACUGGGUGUCUUGAGUACGGGAGAGGUGAGUGGAACUGCGAGUGUAGAGGUGAAAUUCGUAGAUAUUCGCAAGAACACCAGUGGCGAAGGCGGCUCACUGGCCCGUAACUGACGCUGAGGCACGAAAGCGUGGGGAGCAAACAGG